GACGAACGCUGGCGGCGUGCCUAAUACAUGCAAGUAGAACGCACAGUUUAUACCGUAGCUUGCUACACCAUAGACUGUGAGUUGCGAACGGGUGAGUAACGCGUAGGUAACCUGCCUGGUAGCGGGGGAUAACUAUUGGAAACGAUAGCUAAUACCGCAUAAUAUUGAUUAUUGCAUGAUAAUUGAUUGAAAGAUGCUAUUGCAUCACUACCAGAUGGACCUGCGUUGUAUUAGCUAGUAGGUGAGGUAACGGCUCACCUAGGCGACGAUACAUAGCCGACCUGAGAGGGUGAGCGGCCACACUGGGACUGAGACACGGCCCAGACGCCUACGGGAGGCAGCAGUAGGGAAUCUUCGGCAAUGGACGAAAGUCUGACCGAGCAACGCCGCGGGAGUGAAGAAGGUUGUCGGAUCGUAAAGCUCGGUUGUAAGAGAAGAACGGGUGUGAGAGUGGAAAGUUCACACUGUGACGGUAUCUUACCAGAAAGGGACGGCUAACUACGUG
rnacentral:rRNA from 1 species